rnacentral:rRNA from 2 species
AGAGUUUGAUCCUGGCUCAGGAUGAACGCUGGCGGCGUGCCUAAUACAUGCAAGUCGAGCGAACGGACGAGAAGCUUGCUUCUCUGAUGUUAGCGGCGGACGGGUGAGUAACACGUGGAUAACCUACCUAUAAGACUGGGAUAACUUCGGGAAACCGGAGCUAAUACCGGAUAAUAUUUUGAACCGCAUGGUUCAAAAGUGAAAGACGGUCUUGCUGUCACUUAUAGAUGGAUCCGCGCUGCAUUAGCUAGUUGGUAAGGUAACGGCUUACCAAGGCAACGAUGCAUAGCCGACCUGAGAGGGUGAUCGGCCACACUGGAACUGAGACACGGUCCAGACUCCUACGGGAGGCAGCAGUAGGGAAUCUUCCGCAAUGGGCGAAAGCCUGACGGAGCAACGCCGCGUGAGUGAUGAAGGUCUUCGGAUCGUAAAACUCUGUUAUUAGGGAAGAACAUAUGUGUAAGUAACUGUGCACAUCUUGACGGUACCUAAUCAGAAAGCCACGGCUAACUACGUGCCAGCAGCCGCGGUAAUACGUAGGUGGCAAGCGUUAUCCGGAAUUAUUGGGCGUAAAGCGCGCGUAGGCGGUUUUUUAAGUCUGAUGUGAAAGCCCACGGCUCAACCGUGGAGGGUCAUUGGAAACUGGAAAACUUGAGUGCAGAAGAGGAAAGUGGAAUUCCAUGUGUAGCGGUGAAAUGCGCAGAGAUAUGGAGGAACACCAGUGGCGAAGGCGACUUUCUGGUCUGUAACUGACGCUGAUGUGCGAAAGCGUGGGGAUCAAACAGGAUUAGAUACCCUGGUAGUCCACGCCGUAAACGAUGAGUGCUAAGUGUUAGGGGGUUUCCGCCCCUUAGUGCUGCAGCUAACGCAUUAAGCACUCCGCCUGGGGAGUACGACCGCAAGGUUGAAACUCAAAGGAAUUGACGGGGACCCGCACAAGCGGUGGAGCAUGUGGUUUAAUUCGAAGCAACGCGAAGAACCUUACCAAAUCUUGACAUCCUUUGACAACUCUAGAGAUAGAGCCUUCCCCUUCGGGGGACAAAGUGACAGGUGGUGCAUGGUUGUCGUCAGCUCGUGUCGUGAGAUGUUGGGUUAAGUCCCGCAACGAGCGCAACCCUUAAGCUUAGUUGCCAUCAUUAAGUUGGGCACUCUAAGUUGACUGCCGGUGACAAACCGGAGGAAGGUGGGGAUGACGUCAAAUCAUCAUGCCCCUUAUGAUUUGGGCUACACACGUGCUACAAUGGACAAUACAAAGGGCAGCGAAACCGCGAGGUCAAGCAAAUCCCAUAAAGUUGUUCUCAGUUCGGAUUGUAGUCUGCAACUCGACUACAUGAAGCUGGAAUCGCUAGUAAUCGUAGAUCAGCAUGCUACGGUGAAUACGUUCCCG